UGGGGAAUAUUGGACAAUGGGCGCAAGCCUGAUCCAGCCAUGCCGCGUGUGUGAUGAAGGCCUUAGGGUUGUAAAGCACUUUCGCCGAUGAAGAUAAUGACGGUAGUCGGAGAAGAAGCCCCGGCUAACUUCGUGCCAGCAGCCGCGGUAAUACGAAGGGGGCAAGCGUUGUUCGGAUUUACUGGGCGUAAAGCGUACGUAGGCGGAUGAUUAAGUCAGGGGUGAAAUCCCGGGGCUCAACCUCGGAACUGCCUUUGAUACUGGUCGUCUUGAGUCCGGGAGAGGUGAGUGGAACUCCUAGUGUAGAGGUGAAAUUCGUAGAUAUUAGGAAGAACACCAGUGGCGAAGGCGGCUCACUGGCCCGGAACUGACGCUGAGGUACGAAAGCGUGGGGAGCAAA
rnacentral:rRNA from 1 species